GUAGAUUCUUUACUGUCUAAGCCACCAGGGAAGCCCCUGAAAUCAUUAAAAAAGAUCUUUUAAAAAUCUAUCUCCAGGAGGUGGUAGAUGUGGAGGAAGCAGGUGAGGGCAGUGCCCCCUUGUGUUACCUUCUAGCUCUGGAACUCCCUGAGAUUUGCAUGGUCAUUGCCCCAUCCGGGUAUUAGCAGAGAUUAACACCCAGGCUUUCCGUCCUCCCAGGCCUAGCGCUGAGAAGGAUUUGGAAUGAAGACAGGCCCAUCUUUCAAACUGGAUGAGUCUGAUGGCUAAGGAGCAAGGCAAACUCGGCAGAAAGGCGUUCAGGUCGUGAGUGCCGUCAACAGGUCUGGCGCUUGCUGAUCAGGGCCGGUUGGUUUAUGGCGCCCCUUGGUGGUCCCGACGCUGUGUUACAUCUACUUCCACACCUCUUCUGAGUAGUGGCUUCCAAAGUGAGAAGCAAGGAUGCCAGUUGGGAGGCUGUUGAAGAUAUCCAGGGCACCUGGGACCAGAAAUGCUGUCUGUACCUGGUUCUGCUUUGGGUGGAGACUGUGUCAGUGUGGAGCCAAGUGGCGUCUCCUGCCCGCACACCAGGGCCAUGACCUUCACUUGAAGACUCCAGCAGCAAGAGAUGAUUCUCCAACCUUGUUGAUGAAAAAUUUUUAAA